rnacentral:lncRNA from 1 species
ACCACUUGAUCAAGAAGGCCGUUGCCGUGCGUAAGCAUUUGGAGAGGAACCGCAAAGAUAAGGAUUCCAAGUUCCGUUUGAUUUUGAUCGAGAGCCGUGUACACCGGUUAGCUCGCUACUACAAGCGCACAAAGAAGCUUCCCCCCACCUGGAAGUAGUAAGUUACCAUAUCCACACUGACUUCGUAGGCUUCUGUUUGCACCAUCUUCCACUUUUUUAUAAUUCUCACAUUUAGGUACUCUAAAAACAUAUCUUUUUGCACCUAAGUCAAUAAAUGGAAAGAAGAAUAGAAUUGAGUAGACUCUUAUCUGACAGGAGUAGUUUCCCGUUUCAUGACUCCGACUGGUGAGACCUUUUAGUUCAAGCACUCCACAUGUCCUUCAAGUCUGUCUCAUGAAUAAUCUCCAUUGAACUGAGCUAUGAAAUAUUUGUGUUUGUGUGCAGUGAGUCUGCCACCGCCAGUACACUCGUUGCUUAGGUGAAGAGGCCACUCGAUUGCCUCCAGAUUGAAGAAGCUCUUGCGGCGACACCUAGCUUUGCAUUCCAACUGUGUACUGAACAAAGACAUGCGUUAAUUGAAACACUCCGUCUUCAGGUUGCCACUGUUAGUAUUUGUGAAACUUUGCACUGAAAUCGGAUUUUUUACUGUUAUAUUU